CCUACGGGAGGCAGCAGUGAGGAAUAUUGGUCAAUGGACGCAAGUCUGAACCAGCCAUGCCGCGUGCAGGAAGACGGCUCUAUGAGUUGUAAACUGCUUUUGUACGAGGGUAAACGCAGGUACGUGUAUCUGUUUGAAAGUAUCGUAUGAAUAAGGAACGGCUAACUUCGGGCCAGCAGCCGCGGUAAUACGGAGGAUUCAAGCGUUAUCUGGAUUUAUUGGGUUUAAAGGGUGCGUAGGCGGGGGGAUAAGUUAGAGGUGAAAUCCCGAGGCUCAACCGCGGAAUUGCAUCUGAUACUGGUCGGCUAGAGAGUAGUUGGGGUAGGCGGAAUGUAUGGUGUAGCGGUGAAAUGCUUAGAGAUCAUGCAGAACACCGAUUGCGAAGGCAGCUUACCAAGCUGCUUCUGACGUUGAGGCACGAAAGCGUGGGGAGCAAACAGGAUUAGAUACCCUUGUAGUC
rnacentral:rRNA from 1 species